UUUUUUUGUUUUUUUUUUUUUUUUACUGAUUUGUAUAAAUGCAUUAAGCAGCACCUCAGUACUAUGUAAUUUGUUGUGUAUUGUGUGGAUUCUCACUUACAUUUCACUCGUUCAUAAAAAUAAAAACUAAAAACUUUGUAAUAUGCUAGAUGGCUUUCUUCAAAAUUUUCUAAAGUGAAAUAAUGCUGCUGUUGUGAGUGACUCAUGCAGUGUAAGUGUAUGAGUAAGCAGAUCAGAAAUACCAGUCUUUCCUUACAGGUAUGAAUCCUAGUUAUUUUUGAUACUUCAGAGUCUUAUAAAUUCUUUAAUUUAGUUUAUGGUUGAUAAGUAACAGACAGGUAUCUUAGUUUAUUAUCUUUUGAUAAACCUGCAGUUUUAAUGAUUAAAACCAGAUUUUAAUUUAACAUAACUAGAUGUAUUAAAUAAGAAAUUUUGCAAAUUGGAUUUCAGAAAUUUCUUAGAGUUUGUUUAAUCUUUUCCUGUAUUUAAGUAACAUUUAGGUUUCUUUUCCUGCUUUGUACAGUGUAACUUUGGAUGGUAAUAUCUUUGCAAAUGUAAAUAAAAGCAUUUCUUAAAAUAUCUGGCAAUAGUAAUCUGUAACAUAUUUUUUUUUAAUUGUUUCUGCUGUAUUUUGUUUUAAUUUGCAAUACAGUCUUCACAGUACCCACAUUUCUUUUCUGAGUAUGAAUAUAUUUUUUGUCUGCCGCAGUUCAGUGUUUAGAAGUUCUUACAAAUUGGAAAUAGGAUAUUUGAAAAAUUGAAAUUAAUCUUUCACUGGUGAUUUGUACUGUAAGUACUGAAAAUCUAUAUUUGUAAAAUUGGAAAUGCAGUUAAAGCUUAAAGAUCGGCUGUAUUUCAGUCUUAGACUAACACUGACUCAAGUAUAAAACUUCAGAGAGUUUUUAUUUCUCAUUUAUUGCAUUUUUGUUUGGUUGGUUUUGGUUUGAUGAUUUUUGGUUGGUUUAUUGGGGCUUUUUUUUUUUUGUUUUUGUUUCUUUGAGGGGGGAGGUGUUUUUGUUGUUAUUUUUCACCAGAAGUCUUUGAACUGGUCUUGGAAAUUGAAUUCUAACUUCAAAUAUUUUUCUAGCAAUUUGACUUAGCAUUUCUAACAAGCUCCUAUGAAAGGAGUCUACACCAGAUUUGGCACCAAAUAUGUCUAGAAGAGAGAGCAAGCACUGUGAACUCUUUUGGCAGGAGACCAACUCUUGGUAGUUUUUAAAUAACACUAAUCACAGCUAAAAGAUUUUUCUGACAAUCAGUUAUAUUUUGAAGUAAGUACUUCUUCAUCAGUAGUUUUGGGUUUCUGUCAAAUUUACCAGCAGUGCAAAAGAUUGCAUAUACUUUUGGCUGGAGACAAAAUCCUGUUAUUUAGGAAGAAUAUUCCCAGUCCUUAUGUACAUCCUUGACCAUUUAAAAUACUACAAAAAUCAAUAGCCAAAAAAAAACUGUAGAAAGUUGCUAGCUUUCUUAUCUCCACAAGAAUAUUGAUUGUGCUCUUAGUUUUCAGCCGUUGUUGCUGUAGUUUAAUCUACUAAUCUUCCUUGGAUCCCAAUUUAACAGUAGGUGGUAAUCUUAUAAUGGCAAAGGUAUUGCAUUUAAAAGAGACACAUAGAGUAUGGUGUAGCUUUUAAUAUUGGUCCCUUGUGGUUUAUAUACAAUAUUGUUUAUGCACUAGAAAGUUGAAUCACAGCUAAUUUCAAGUUUUUAUAUCUCAGUGUUAGGUUUCUGUUAAAAUGCAAAAGAAAAGGGUUUUCCAAUCUGUUAAAUAUUAAUGCAUUAUAUUGAUUACCUAAGGAUUAGACUAAUCAUUUUUAUAUUAUGCAAAUUUUUCAAGGCCAGGUUAGAUGGGGCAUUGAGACACCUGGUCUAGUGAGAGGCAUCCCUGCCUUGAACAUCUGCCUUUUGAGCCAGCCCACCCCAGUUGUCCACACCAGCCCUUGUCAUAGCCUUGCUCAAACAUCCCCAUCCUGUUAUCAUUCCCCUGAGUGACCUUGGCAGUCUCUGUGGGGAAGGGAAAUAAAGGAGCUAGUUGCAUUCCCUGCUGUCAUUUGGCAUUUGUUUUGGUUUUUGGAAAUGAUAGAUUUAUGUCAAGUUGGUCACACUUUGGGCAUCUCUUUAUGUUGUCUUUCCCUUGCAGAUGGAAUCAGAAUUUUCUGGGGAUUUUUCUGCUUUUUUGGCAUUUAGAUACUAUGAGUAUCUAAAUUUCUUCUACUUUACCUUUCUUCCAGAAAACUGUCUACAAAGAGACAUUUGAAAAAGCUAAAUGGACCUCUAGCUAUUUCCUGCAGCUCCCUAUUCUCUAAGGAAUCAUGGUGUAUGUAAUCUUAGUUUUCUGGUUUCCUGCAGAGGAAUAUGCUAUUUUGAAUAUGCUGUUUUCAAUAUGCCAAACACCUCUGUCAAGAGGUGAAUUAAUGUCUAUCCAGAGAAUAUAAUUUUAUAACCAUUUUUUUGUGAGACAAUUUGAGGGGAAGUGAGAGACGUGGUGACCACUUGCCUUUAAAAGACAGGCAGGGACUCACACUUCCUGCGAGCUUAUCAGACAGAACAUAGAGGUUCACAAGGCUUCAAUCUGCCUUGUCUUGCUUGUGUGUAGGUCUUCAGAAGUAAUCAGCUACCAUCACUGGCAUGAAACAAAGAAAAUUUCUUGUAUUCACAGCCUACUACUUUAAGGAAAGAUAAAGAAUUAACACACAAUUUUGUCUUGCUGGGUUUUUUUGAACAGCUGUGAGAGUCCUCUUGUUGAGAAAGUCAACAAGAAUAUUGCAUCUCUUCAUGUUGAGGCAGUUUUCAUACCAGAAAAGACUACCAAAUAUGAUGAAAAAUAUUUUUUUUUCUUAUAGGCCUGUUUACUGUAGAAUUUUAAUCACCCUUGCUGUUUAUAAAAGGUUUCCUAUUGAUAAAUUUUUCAGACCUCAUCUACAAAUCCAAGAUUUAGCAAAUCUGUAAGAAAGAUUGUUCCCUGGGCACAGGACAGUUCUAUUUGCAAAAGCUAAAUAAAGUAAGCUAACAUUACCCAACCUGUACAGCUGGGCUCUGUUUGUUCCUAUUUGUGACUUCCACCAGCUGAUAAAAGGUCUGAAAGUGGGAUUUCACAGUUAUUUUCCUGUUCUCCUGAGCAUGACUGGCCUGCAUCUCUUUCUAAUGCUAUAUAGCUGAAUUUGAUAUAUAUAUAAAAUAGGAAAAGAUUCCUUGUAGCACAUAAAUUUACCUGAAAGGUGAAGGUAUGCCGAAGGCAACAUAUUUUGAAGAACCUCUAUUUAUGGUCAGCAUUAAUGUCUGAAAUAUAUGAUUUAACUUACCAGACCAGAUUUAAAAGGAGCUGUAAGUAGAGCUCAUAAUUCAGAGCUGUUACACUGAAUCCUUUAAUUAUAUACUGAAUUUUUCAUCUAAAACUUAUAUGGCUUUCGGGAUUGAUGAUCUGAUAAAAAGCAUUUAUCUUCAUGAUAAUGUAUUUAAAUGUAAUACAGAAAGUUGGAAAUUUUGAUCUAAGAAACAAUUUGGUAAUCUUCCACUUUCCAAACAGUUAAAGGGCUUCAGUGGCAGAGCAGUGACCCCUUGUGUUCCUCUGAAUGAUGUAAUGCUUACACAUUUUUAAAACCCACAGAAAUUAUUGUAAAAGCAAUAGUGCUGUGCAGCAUUGAGAUCCUGCCUUUUGCACACCACUGAAGAACACUGUGAUGGGCAAAGGCACCUUUAUGUGUCAUACUGACUCCUGUAGUGUGUUGUGUCAAAACCACUGCUAUCCAUCUUGUCUUUUGGGCUGAUGAAACCCUUGAAUGCCAUCUUCUGACCGUGGAUAGGAAUAUCCUUGUUUAUUAGACUUUUGUUUUUUAUGUAAGUUUGAAAGCAAGUGUAUCAAUGACUCCCUUAUUAUUACUAGAAGAGAUAACUUUGAACAAAAUAAUUUUUUGCUUAAUUGCUUGUGGGUACUUUUUUUUUGAGCCAUCCUGAGUUGAAAUGUAACAAUAUGCAACAAGACAUUUGUUCUCUAAGGUCACACAGAGAGAAUUAACUGAGGAAAAGAGAUCUGAGAAGCCACAUAUAUUUUUUCCCAGAAACCAGUUCUCUUUGUGCCCAUUACUCAAGCAUAUUUAGACUGGAACCAAGGAAUAUUUCCCCGAAUAUAACAUGUCUCUCUGAUCACUGCAGCUUAAUGGUAAGUAAUUGCUCUGAUAGAUGUACCAGAGCUGAGGCUACAAAUUCAGUGGCUGGGAUACUACUAACAAUAGUCAAAAAGUCAGCACAAAAAACACUCCUACUAGUAAGUUUAAGAUCAUCUUCAAGUUCAUAAAAUGGAAUCCUUAGUACAGUUAAUUAUGUCUAUCCUUAGUACAGUAAAAAUAAUCUAUCCAGCCUCGGGAAAAAAAAGUAUCAUACAGUAGAGUUUCAAACAGGAGCAUAAUAUCCCACCCACACAUCGGCUUUUUGGAAAAGUAUUAGGCUUUUGAAGAAGGUUGGAGAUAACUAGUGUUGCCAGACUGGUUUUUUGCUUCAGAAGAAGCAAUAUUCUAGUGUGUGCAUUCAAGAGUUAUUUAUAUAAGAAAUGCAAUUAAACAUAAUUUCUCAGUUCAUGAUCCUUUGAAGCCACAAAGUAGCAGUUGGAUGUCUGCUUGAUUUGUCCUCCUCCUUGCUGAAGUGUGAGGGGGAUUUUUUUCACAGCAGUCCUGCACACCAAGGCUGGAUUUCAUAAGCAGAUGCUGAACGCUGUUUCCUUCCUGAUUCAGUUGUCUUUCUGCUAAUCAGUCUUCAGCACUGCCUCCUCCUGAUUUUUUGUUUACUUCUAUGUGGUAGAUUAGGUUGAAAAAUAAUUCCUGAAUUGUCUUGCUAUACUAACUUGAAUCCUUAUACAAGCCUGUUAUUAUAGCAGCCUCAAUUAUUAAAAACAAAAAACUUUUAAAAUAAAGCAGAUGGACAAAUGAGAUGCCUGUGCAUGCCCUGUGUAACAGCUAAUCACUGAUGCCUUCUGCAGCAGUGCAUAGAAAGGCUUCUUACCAUUCUUGCCUAAGUAUUCAAACAGUCUAGUUUCACAGAACAGUGGCAAAAAGUAAUCAACAUUUUUCUUGCUCCAAGAGUAGUUGAUAGUGAUAAAUUAAUGCCUGAGGAAACAGGUGCUAUGCUUUAUAAAUCAUAUCACAAUAAAUAAUCAAAAGCGCUUAUUUGGAUGUGGU
rnacentral:lncRNA from 1 species